rnacentral:rRNA from 1 species
AGGGGGGCGGGGAGGGGAGGGGAGGGGAGGGAGGCGAUCGGCGGUGCAGGGGCCGGCUGGGCUGGUGGGGAGCGGCAGCCGGCCUGGCGUAGAGGGGGGGAGUGGGGGUGGAGGUCUAGGCGCGCGAGGGGAUCGGAGGGGGGCGGGCGGCGGCGGCCCUUGAAAGACGGCUCGAGCUAGGUAGGUCACCGGCCGAUGUCGCUGGCGGGCGGCGCGCCUAGCUAGGUCGCUGGUUGGACCUCGUGCCGACGAUCGGCAGGGGAGUGGUCAGUUGGGUUCAGCGUGGUGCACGGUGGUAAAGCUGGUCGAGGCGGCGACGAUAAAAAGAGGGAUAUAAGGAGGGGAGUGUGGCUGCCGCGGGGCCGGCGAGGAGGGGCAGGCGGCGCGGGGGCGAGGCGCAGGUAGAGGGCGGGCUCUUUGGGAUCGGUCUCCUUCCUCCUGUGGUACUCCCCCUUCUUCGGCGAGUUCCUCGAGUGUGAGAGGCACGGCCGCGUCCUCUGCGGGCAGCUAUUCAAGGACUGCCGCUCGCCAUGCAAGUUCCUGCCACUUGACGCUGAAUUAGUUUCUCCAAACGUCGAAUAGAGGCUCCUUUUGCCUCUACUUGUAGUUAGUUGUUUUUACUUCCACCUUCUACACGUCAAUAGUUACCUACUGGAGCUCUACUAAGUCCAGUAACCAUUCCCUUCACCACCACAACAGGUUGAUCACGCCGUGUUCACCCACCCGUGUAAAAUACGGAACUUCCCGUAAGUUUACUUGUAAGUCCUCAGUCAAGCGUUUGUUUAUCAUGUCCUCGAGUUUUAUUUAGUUCGUUGUGUCUCGGGUGUAUAUCAGGAAACGGUAGUUAGAAAAAUGGUGUUACCACAUUAUAUAGAACAAGACCUUAUAUACCUAGCACCUAGAGAACGUCUGUAUUAAUUUGUUCAAUUUUGGUAAGACCUCGGUAUGGAGCGUCAUGAAACGUUCGUCCAAAACCUCCCUAACAAUAUAGAAGUAGUACUUUCCGUACACUAAGUGUCUCUGUAUUUCGGAAGAUUGAACAAUCAGUUGGUAUUUCCACUUCAUUUCUAAUGACUAAAACCCCACUCACGUCACGAUCGUUCAAGCUAACCAGUCGCACUAUGUAAACAACCUUGGAUGUUGAUAUACCGCGGACUCGCCUAAUCACCGUCGAGGAUACUGAUGUUCUCACUACAUACCUCAAACCCGAACCAUUAUGAACUUACGCGGUAACCAGCGAAGGGAAUAUGAGGAGGUCUCCCUCUUCCAACCAAUUCGAAGAUACUUGAUAACCUUCGUUAACAACUGGUCGGUGGUGGAAGACGUGGACGUCUAGUCAAGAGAGGUCUUAAGACGAGUAAAUAGAGAAGGACGUAUGUUUUCCUGGGGCGGCUCGCCUACAGACGAAGUCUUGAGAACUUGGUGCGGAAGUAGUUCUUCAAACUCCUGUUCCUGGAUCUGGAGGCCUAGGAACAGCUCUCGGACCUCGUCGGGUACUUGCACGGGCUCACUCCGGUGGCCAGCCUCUCCACUCCGAAACGUCGCACAAAGAAGGCCCCGACGGGAGGGCUUGCCGUUAGCACAUAACGACACUUGGACUACUUACUCACUGGGGGGUGGGGACAUACAACUACAAAUACAACCUUUCUAAGGGUCUCCUAAGAGUACCUGAUAAUUACAUACCAAUUACCUACUUCCGGGAAAACAACGCACAGAACGAUACUUACUUACCUAGACCACACCGAUCAACGAACACCACACCACGUACUCUUACCUUCCUUGGCACUACAACGACGGCAAGCACGCAACGCCGCGCCGCGCCAGGCCAAAUACACCACCAAACACGACGGGACCCUUGCUGGGACACCAAAAACGAUCACCAUAAUAUGGGACUGACGACGGUACCAAUGGUCCGUCUCAUUUGUCCUAAAUUCGACCGACUCUUCAAAUCCUAGUCCGCCGACCUAAAAGUAAAAACCAAACGUGGCUUCGUUGCUGCCCAGGUGUGGUGUGGUGUGGUGUUUCCUUGGUGAACCCCCCGUGG